UGCCAGCAGCCGCGGUAAGACGGAGGGUGCAAACGUUGUUCGGAAUUACUGGGCAUAGAGCGCGCGUAGGCGGUCCGCUAAGUCAGGUGUGAAAUCCCCCGGCUCAACCGGGGAACUGCAUCUGAUACUGGCGGACUAGAGGACGGUAGGGGUGAGCGGAACUCCAGGUGGAGCGGUGAAAUGCGUAGAUAUCUGGAGGAACACCGGUGGCGAAGGCGGCUUUCUGGACCGAUACUGACGCUGAGACGCGAAAGCGUGGGGAGCAAACAGGAUUAGAUA
rnacentral:rRNA from 1 species